UUUACACAUGCAAGUCGAACGGCAACGGGGGCUUCAGCCUCGCCGGCGAGUGGCGAACGGGUGAGUAAUGCAUCGGAACGUGCCCAGUUACGGGGGAUAACUCCGCGAAAGCGUAGCUAAUACCGCAUACGCCCUGACGGAGAAAGUGGGGGAUCGCAAGACCUCGCGUGAUUGGAGCGGCCGAUGUCGGAUUAGCUAGUUGGUGAGGUAAAGGCUCACCAAGGCGACGAUCUGUAGCGGGUCUGAAAGGAUGAUCCGCCACACUGGGACUGAGACACGGCCCAAACUCCUACGGGAGGCAGCAGUGGGGAACUUUGGACAAUGGGCGAAAGCUGACUCCAGCCAUGCCGCGUGAGUGAAGAAGGCCUUCGGGUUGUAAAGCUCUUUCGGACGGGAAGAAAUCGCGCUGGCUAAUAUCGCGCGUGGAUGACGGUACCGUUAGAAGAAGCACCGGCUAACUACGUGCC
rnacentral:rRNA from 1 species